rnacentral:rRNA from 1 species
GUGCCAGCAGCCGCGGUAAUACGGGGGGGGCAAGCGUUGUUCGGAAUUACUGGGCGUAAAGGGCUCGUAGGUGGCCAACUAAGUCAGACGUGAAAUCCCUCGGCUUAACCGGGGAACUGCGUCUGAUACUGGAUGGCUUGAGUUUGGGAGAGGGACGCGGAAUUCCAGGUGUAGCGGUGAAAUGCGUAGAUAUCUGGAGGAACACCGGUGGCGAAGGCGGCGUCCUGGACCAACACUGACACUGAUGAGCGAAAGCCAGGGGAGCAAACGGGAUUAGAUACCCUCGUAGUCC